AUACGGAGGAUCCGAGCGUUAUCCGGAUUUAUUGGGUUUAAAGGGUGCGCAGGCGGCCAUUUAAGUCAGCGGUUAAAUCGUGGGGCUCCACCCCAUUCUGCCGUUGAUACUGGUUGGCUUGAUUGCGGUCGAGGUUGGCGGAAUUCGUUGUGUAGCGGUGAAAUGCAUAGAUAUGACGAAGAACACCGAUUGCGUAGGCAGCUGACCAGACCGCAAAUGACGCUCAUGCACGAAAGUGCGGGGAUCGAACAGGAUUAGAUACCCUGGUAGUCCGCACAGUAAACGAUGAAUACUUGUUUUCGGCGAUAUAAUGUCGGAGGCAAAGCGAAAGCGAUAAGUAUUCCACCUGGGGAGUACGCCGGCAACGGUGAAACUCAAAUGAAUUGACGGGG
rnacentral:rRNA from 1 species